CAGAGAGGUCCCUGACUGUGCAUCAACCUUCUUUUCCGCAGUGCAGCAUGCAGAGGAAAAUACCUGCUCCCAGGAAUCAGAGAACAUACCAUACCACAUGUCGGACCAUUCCCAGUAUUUUGGGCAAGGUGCAAUCAGUACCUGAAAGGACACAAAUCUCCAGUAAAACACCUGCUGCUGUUGUGAUUUCACAUGAAGCCACUGAAAGGAUACAGACAUUCGGGAGGAAGUCAAAAGGAAGAGAUCUAUUAUCUUAGCCAUGGAUAUUUCACUGAGGUGCUUUACAUAGAACAAUACAUCAGUCUGGACUGCAGGAAGAUAAAGACCAGAAUCUUCUAUUCAAAAUCCAGCGAAGGACCAUUUAUAACUUAAAGAGACACGGAAAUCCUGCUGAAUUCCAAACCCCAAAUUACAUACAGCAUGAACGAAAUCCUGCCCAAACAGUACGACAGCGGCAUAGAUCAGCACCAGGUUGUUGAAGACCUCUGUGGUGAAACUGUACCUGGAGAGAACACAGAGUGCAGUCCAGCCUGAGUGGUCCAUGUAGUCAUACUCCACCACCAGGGAGAACUGCUGCCAGGGGAAAUCAGCGUGGAUGUGCUGACUGCAGGCUACCACACAUGAACUUCGCUGGAGACUGACAUCCAAACAGCCAGAAUGUUAAAAAAAAUCUCACAAAUGUUUUAGACAGUACAUUCUGACUUCAUGAGCUGCAGCUCUGCUUACUUAUGGAAAUUAAAGUGAUGCUGAUUCUUGGGAUAUAUUGCAUGUACACUAACACAAUAUAUACCAGUAGCCUCUUGAGGCAAAGACUGUCACUGAAUUGGCACCACAGGAUUAAGGUUCUGGAAAUUCCCCAGUGUGGUGAAGGCUGCACUCAUAUGAUUGAAGAAUAAUGUCUACCAAGGACUUUGUCAGACCAAAGCAGGUCCACCUGACGUAACAUUAAAGAAAUCAGACUCAGCUUGAUGGCAAGACAUGCGCAUGAAAUCUGACACUUUAGAUGUUAUUUAAAGAAACCAGAGAAGGUAGUACAUUAGAUGAAUCCCUUAAUAUUGGAUUUUUUUUAUAAAUUAACUAGAAAACCAUAGUAUGCAGUAAGAACACUACUGAAACCCUCA